GGCAGGCCUAACACAUGCAAGUCGAGCGGGUUUCGGACCUAGGCGGCGGACGGGUGAGUAAUGCGUAGGAAGCUACCCGACAGAGGGGGAUACCAGUUGGAAACGACUGUUAAUACCGCAUAAUGUCUACGGACCAAAGUGUGGGACCUUCGGGGCCACAUGCUGUCGGAUGCGCCUACGUGGGAUUAGCUAGUUGGUGAGGUAAUGGCUCACCAAGGCGACGAUCUGUAGCUGGUCUGAGAGGACGACCAGCCACACUGGGACUGAGACACGGCCCAGACUCCUACGGGAGGCAGCAGUGGGGAAUUUUGGACAAUGGGCGCAAGCCUGAUCCAGCAAUGCCGCGUGCAGGAUGAAGGCCUUCGGGUUGUAAACUGCUUUUGUACGGAACGAAACGGUGAGCUCUAAUACAGUUUGCUAAUGACGGUACCGUAAGAAUAAGCACCGGCUAACUACGUG
rnacentral:rRNA from 1 species